GGUGCUUCACGUGGCAGAUGCCACAUUUGGAGGUCCAGAGAGGUGAUGUGAGGCACUGGCGCAGGUGAAGCCUGAGCAGAACCCCAAAGUUGGAACUUGGGCUUAUUUAUGCGCUAUCACUUUAUGCAUCACCUAUUUUGAUGCUCUGUUGUUGGGUGCACACACAACAAGGAUUAUCCUGUAUUCUUGGAGUAAAGACCCUAUGAUCACUUGGACUAAUGAGGGACAUAAAAGGCAGCCACUGGUGCAGCCAGCCGAGGCCUGAAGCACCAGCGGAGAGAAGGGCUCAUCAGCAGAAUGUCCAGUCAUUGGAACCGAGAUGAGGGAUGGUUGCCAUUCCUCUGGACUGUGGACUCCAAGAAUACAUCCUCGCUUUGACCCCUAGGACGUCUGUUUGGCCCAGAAGCACCCUUUUGCCUCCAGCUGGCUGGAGGAACACACCUCGCUCAGGCAUCUUAGAAGAACCUUUACAUAUCAAUGUGAUAAAAAAGAGAAAACAUCAGAUGAAAGUUCAAGUGUUAUACUAUUCAGACAAUAUAGAAGGACAAGUGGCCCCUAACACACUAUGGAGACCACAGCCAGGUCACUCUCUGACUCCCUAAACAGUCUGGUUCACACAACAUUGUUACCCUACUGUGGAUAAAGAACACAGUCCAGCAAGACCCAAGUCCCCAUUGUUCCUGGUGAAGAUGUUAACCAGGUGACAUCAGGGUAGUGAGGCCACCCAAGGGUGUGUACAUCACGACCCUGCACACAGCCCAGAGACUCCUGUGUGGCUCUUGUGGUGACCUUGGUCAUUCCUUCCAGGACCAUUUCCACUGAAUGCUUCUCAUUAACUCCAAGGUGUACAGGGAGGACACAAAACAGCAAAAUACUCAGCACUCAGCUUUCUGGAUUGACUUUUAUUUGUAUUGAUUUGGAAGAAACUGGAGUGGGAUGACUAAGAACCUUCUUGCCGGCCCCCCCACAACCAUGGAAGAAAAAGGAGAGAAGGGCAAAACAAGGAGAGGGGAAAACUGCCCAGGAGUCACAGACCAGCCACAAUGGUUUUCCCAUGAUCACAGGUAGGAAGCCAGGCCAUGCUUCUGCUCACUCCACUCAGGAUACUUGUCUGGCCCCUGACCCAGCUGGGAGUCCUUGCCUGGCUGACCUCCCACACCGUGUUUCCGGAUCCUGGGAGCUCAGAGCCUUCUUGCCCUCCAAAGAGACAUUUGAAGUGGGCUCUCAAGUAUUUUGAAAUGUGCCCUACAUUUUCCUAAACCUGGUCACCCUGCUGUGCAACACAGGCUGUCAACACAGGCCAAUAGAAUCUAAAUGUCCACUGUUCCUUCUGAAAAGGUUAACCAAGUGACAUCAGUGUGGGGAGGCUACGCAUGGAAUGUACAUUUCUGGCCUGCACACAGCCCAGAGACGCCGGUGUUGCUGUGAGCUUGGCAGUUCCCUCAAGGCCCCUUUCCACUGGGGUGUCUGGACUUCUGAAACUUGGUUCCCUAUGACAACCCCCCACUCCCAAUCCCUGCCUAUGUCGUCCACCAUCCGUGUCAAAAUGAGGUCAGCUCUUCAGAGGUGACAUAUCAGUGACAGCAUGCUGCAUCUGCCUGCAGGGAUGGGGGUGGUAGUUUUAUGUCUUCAUUCCACACGCACCUGAACUUCACCUUGCGCCCCACCCAUGUACACACAGAGAAAGAUACAAUGUCUAUGUCAGUUUAUUGAAAAUCCGCUAAAACGUAAGACAGGAAAGGAGAAAGCUUGGCCGCCACACCCUGGCUCGUCUGGGCCUCAGGUCUCCAGAUGGUCACAGAGACCACCUUGUUGCGGGGGAUCUUCUGGCACCCUCAGCCUGCCUUCCUAUGCUCUGCCUCUGUAUCUUUCUCUGUGUGUACAUGGGUGGGGCGCAAUGAUUCUUUAUUGAAUCUCCAAUAAGAAAAGGAGGAAGCAUGGCUUGGACACGCCACAUUCGCCUCCUGGUCUCAGCCUCAAGUCUCCAGGCUGGUCACAGGCACCACCUUGUUCCGGCAGCGGAUAUUUUGGGCCAGCAGGAUGCAGAACAUUUUGCGAAAGAAAUUGGCAAUCCUCGCUCACCUCCACUGGCCCUGGCCCGUUUCAUUGGGUUCGUCCUCCACUACCUGCCCAUCUGGAAGGGAGUGGUCUUGUCUGGAACUUCCCUCAGCUCCCCUGUCUCCUGCUGGGCCUCCCCUAAGGCAGCUGGUACUAGGGGGAGAGGACACAGGCCCAGGCCGGGGGGCACAACUGGGACUGGGAAUCAGUGAAGGGGACGUCUCUGGUGGGGUGACCCCUCCGGUGGGGUGGCAACCUCAAGUGGGGUGGCAGCCUCCAGUGGGGUGUCUGUCUCUGGCAGAGUGGCAACUUCCAGUGGGGAGGCAGCCUUGAAUGAGGUGGCUGCCUUUGGUGGGAUGUCUGUCGCUGCUGUGCGUAGCCACAUCCUGUCUUGCCCAGACUGGAUCCAGGGGUCUUCCAACAUCUGCCGGAUGGUGGGCCUCUUUUUGGGGUUAGUGGUGAGGAUCUUUUGGAUAAAGGCUUUUAAUUUGGGGGUAACGUUUUAUUUCACCUUAAACGUGAAAACACUGAAGCUCAGCGAGGCUGCCCUGGCAGGACACAGACCGCCCCGCUGACUCCUCCUGCCCGGCCCAGGGCCCCACCACCUGCUCAGUUGGAAUGGGGCCAGGCCGGGGGGCACAACUAAGACUAGGAAUCGAUGGAUGGGAUCGAAACUGAAGUUCCAAUAUUGGGGUUCUGCUCUGGCUUCAACUGCGCCAGUGCCUCACAUCACCUCUCUGGACCUCAAAAUGUGGCAUCUACCACAUGAAGCACAGGGAAAAUGCUCUGUGAAUAAACGCAAGCAACACUUAUCCUCCUGAAGAGCAAAAUGUCCACACUGAUUUUCCCCAGGACACUCCCCAGUGGAACCCCUCUCAUGAACCCCUACACCUGUGAAAUGAACUUGGCGGACCCUAAGGGAAGACUGAACAUCCCAUCCCACUGGAAGGUCUGAGAAAUCCAUCCACAGUGGGGGCCUAAGAAAGGUGGCGCCACCAGCCUCCUCUGCCUCCCUCCACUGCCCUAACUCGGUAAACGGAGAAACUGAGGCUGCUAGUGGAAAAGAUGCUCCUCUGAGGUUACAUCUCUGACUGGACCCAGGAGUCCUGCUUUCCAGUUGAGUCUAAAACAGAGGAUAGUAAAAUAUUUCCAGCCCUGCCACACUUUUACCAACUCCAACUCCCACAGCCUCCAGCCCAUCUGACCAUUCUACC